UAGUUCCUUCAAUACCAAUGUGUUCUAGUAAUAUGAUUUUUUACCAAUGUGUUCAUAUUACUAGAACACAUUGGUAUUGAAGGAACUAGAU
rnacentral:miRNA from 1 species